AGAUCCAUUUGGGGUCGGCCCGCUUCCAGGCUGUGCGGAGUGGACUCGUAAAACCCAAAGCCAAGUUUGAAAA
ensembl:misc_RNA